rnacentral:rRNA from 1 species
UACGUAGGGACCAAGCGUUGUUCGGAUUUACUGGGCGUAAAGGGCGCGUAGGCGGCAAUUCAAGUCAUCUGUGAAAUCUCCGGGCUUAACCCGGAACGGUCAGAUGAUACUGCUUUGCUAGAGUGCGGAAGGGCAAUCGGAAUUCUUGGUGUAGCGGUGAAAUGCGUAGAUAUCAAGAGGAACACCUGAGGUGAAGACGGGUUGCUGGGCCGACACUGACGCUGACAGCGCGAAAGCCAGGGGAG